rnacentral:rRNA from 1 species
AUUGAACGCUGGCGGCAUGCCUUACACAUGCAAGUCGAACGCGAAAGGGGGGCAACCCCUGAGUAGAGUGGCGCACGGGUGAGUAAUGCAUCGGAACGUGUCCUGUAGCGGGGGAUAACCUAGCGAAAGCUAGGCUAAUACCGCAUACGUCCUAAGGGAGAAAGUGGGGGAUCGUAAGACCUCACACUAUAGGAGCGGCCGAUGCCGGAUUAGCUAGUUGGUGGGGUAAAAGCUCACCAAGGCGACGAUCCGUAGCUGGUCUGAGAGGAUGAUCAGCCACACUGGGACUGAGACACGGCCCAGACUCCUACGGGAGGCAGCAGUGGGGAAUUUUGGACAAUGGGGGAAACCCUGAUCCAGCCAUGCCGCGUGAGUGAAGAAGGCCUUCGGGUUGUAAAGCUCUUUCGGCCGGGACGAAAUCGUACCUUCCAACACAAGGUGCGGAUGACGGUACCGGCAGAAGAAGGACCGGCUAACUACGUGCCAGCCGCCGCGGUAA